GGCCAGAUAGCUCAGUUGGUAGAGCAGAGGACUGAAAAUCCUCGUGUCGGGGGUUCGAAUCCCUCUCUGGCCACCA
rnacentral:tRNA from 1 species